rnacentral:rRNA from 1 species
GACGAACGCUGGCGGCGUGCUUAACACAUGCAAGUCGAGCGGUAAGGCCCUUUCGGGGGUACACGAGCGGCGAACGGGUGAGUAACACGUGGGUGACCUGCCCUCAGCUCUGGGAUAAGCCUGGGAAACCGGGUCUAAUACCGGAUAUGACUCCAUGACGCAUGUUGUGGGGUGGAAAGCCUUGUGCGGCUGAGGAUGGGCCCGCGGCCUAUCAGCUUGUUGGUGGGGUGAUGGCCUACCAAGGCGACGACGGGUAGCCGGCCUGAGAGGGGCGACCGGCCACACUGGGACUGAGACACGGGCCCAGACUCCUACGGGAGGGCAGCAGUGGGGAAUCUUGCGCGAUGGGCGAAAGCCUGACGCAGCGACGCCGCGUGAGGGAUGACGGCCU